rnacentral:rRNA from 1 species
CUUAAUUUGACUCAACGCGGGAAAACUUAUCAGGUCCAGACAUAGUGAGGAUUGACAUAUUGAGAGCUCUUUCUUAAUUCUAUGGGUGUUGGGGGAGUGAUUUGUCUGGUCAAUUCUGUUAACAAACGAGACCUCAGCCUGCCAAAUAAUGGUGUUAAUGAAUCUUCAUUGGCAGACAUUUCUUAGAGGGACAUGUAGUAUUAAACUACAGGAAGAUUGAGGCAAUAA